rnacentral:rRNA from 1 species
CCUACGGGAGGCAGCAGUGAGGAAUAUUGGUCAAUGGUCGGGAGACUGAACCAGCCAAGCCGCGUGAGGGAGGAAGGUACAGAGUAUCGUAAACCUCUUUUGUCAGGGAACAAAGGCGGGGACGUGUCCCCGGAUGAGUGUACCUGAAGAAACAGCAUCGGCUAACUCCGUCCCAGCAGCCGCGGUAAUACGGGGGAUGCGAGCGUUAUCCGGAUUUAUUGGGUUUAAAGGGUGCGCGGGCGGUCUGUUAAGUCAGCGGUAAAAGCCCGGGGCCCACCCCCGGCCCGCCGUUGAAACUGGCAGUCUCGAGUUGGAGAGAAGUAUGCGGAAUGCGCGGUGUAGCGGUGAAAUGCAUAGAUAUCGCGCAGAACUCCGAUUGCGAAGGCAGCAUGCCGGCUCCACACUGACGCUGAGGCACGAAAGCGUGGGUAUCGAACAGGAUUAGAUACCCUUGUAGUC